rnacentral:rRNA from 1 species
CAGCAGCAGCCACGGUAAUACAGAGGGUGCGAGCGUUAAUCGGAUUUACUGGGCGUAAAGCGUGCGUAGGCGGCUUCUUAAGUCGGAUGUGAAAUCCCUGAGCUUAACUUAGGAAUUGCAUUCGAUACUGGGAAGCUAGAGUAUGGGAGAGGAUGGUAGAAUUCUAGGUGUAGCGGUGAAAUGCGUAGAGAUCUGGAGGAAUACCGAUGGCGAAGGCAGCCAUCUGGCCUAAUACUGACGCUGAGGUACGAAAGCAUGGGGAGCAAACAGGAUUAGAUACCCCCGUAGUCCCUGUCUCUUAUAC